rnacentral:rRNA from 1 species
UCCUACGGGGGGCAGCAGUAGGGAAUCUUCGGCAAUGGACGAAAGUCUGACCGAGCAACGCCGCGUGAGUGAAGAAGGUUUUCGGAUCGUAAAACUCUGUUGUUAGAGAAGAACAAGGACGUUAGUAACUGAACGUCCCCUGACGGUAUCUAACCAGAAAGCCACGGCUAACUACGUGCCAGCAGCCGCGGUAAUACGUAGGUGGCAAGCGUUGUCCGGAUUUAUUGGGCGUAAAGCGAGCGCAGGCGGUUUCUUAAGUCUGAUGUGAAAGCCCCCGGCUCAACCGGGGAGGGUCAUUGGAAACUGGGAGACUUGAGUGCAGAAGAGGAGAGUGGAAUUCCAUGUGUAGCGGUGAAAUGCGUAGAUAUAUGGAGGAACACCAGUGGCGAAGGCG